AACUGGGAAACUGGAAUCACCUGAUUUAAAAGUGGAAUAACUUCUUCAUCCAAACUCCUAUGAGAUUUAUUCAACUUUCUGGUGAUUCUCCAACACUUUAUGUAUCCAAAUCAAGCUUCUUACAAAGUGAUUCAUCCUGAUUUGAUUGGAACGACGAAGAAGCUGUCUUAUUCCCAAACUGGGAAACUGGAAUCACAUGAUUUGAAAGUGGGAUAACUUCUUCAUCCCAACUCCGAUGAGAUUUAUUCAACUUGCUGGUGAUUCUCCAACACUUUAUGUAUCCAAAACAAGCUUCUUACAAAGUGAUUCAUCCUGCUUUGAUUGGAAUGACGAAGAAGCUGUCAUAUUCCCAAACUGGGAAACUGGAAUCAUCUUAUUUGAAAGUGUGAUAACUUUUUCAUCCCAACUCCUAUGAGAUUUAUUUAAAUUCCUGGUGAUUCUCCACCACUUUAU
rnacentral:lncRNA from 1 species